rnacentral:snoRNA from 1 species
AUCCUUCUGUUCCCUUUCCCAUCGGAUCUGAACCUGGUCUUGGUGGUCACACAGGGAGGAAAAGGAACACUGAAGCUCGUCUCUGGUGAUGUAACCUGGCUGUACGCUGGGGCUGGUUUCAGACACCA